GCUCGGUAGCCUAGUGGUCAUGGUCACAGACUCGUCGUUAUUUCCGUCGAGUCGAAGGUUCAAGCCCUGCCGUGCAGCA